CGGACGGGUGAGUAACACGUGGAUAACCUACCUAUAAGACUGGGAUAACUUCGGGAAACCGGAGCUAAUACCGGAUAAUAUAUUGAACCGCAUGGUUCAAUAGUGAAAGACGGUUUUGCUGUCACUUAUAGAUGGAUCCGCGCCGCAUUAGCUAGUUGGUAAGGUAACGGCUUACCAAGGCAACGAUGCGUAGCCGCCUGAGAGGGUGAUCGGCCACACUGGAACUGAGACACGGUCCAG
rnacentral:rRNA from 1 species